UGAGGAAUAUUGGUCAAUGGGCGAGAGCCUGAACCAGCCAAGUCGCGUGAAGGAUGACUGCCCUAUGGGUUGUAAACUUCUUUUGUACUGGGGUAAAAAAGAGGACGUGUCCUUUCUUGCAAGUACAGUACGAAUAAGCAUCGGCUAACUCCGUGCCAGCAGCCGCGGUAAUACGGAGGAUGCGAGCGUUAUCCGGAUUUAUUGGGUUUAAAGGGUGCGUAGGCGGGGAUUUAAGUCAGCGGUGAAAGUUUGAGGCUCAACCUUAAAAUUGCCGUUGAAACUGGGUUUCUUGAGUGUAUUUGAAGUAGGCGGAAUUCGUUGUGUAGCGGUGAAAUGCAUAGAUAUAACGAAGAACUCCAAUUGCGCAGGCAGCUUACUAAACUACAACUGACGCUGAAGCACGAAAGCGUGGGUAUCAAACAGG
rnacentral:rRNA from 2 species